GACUUUUAGUUUGCCCCCCCGAAACUAAGUGAGCUACUUUAAAAUAGCCCCAGAGCCAACCCAUCUCUGUUGCAAUAGAGUGGGAUAAUUUUUAAGUAGAGGUGAUAAACCUAUCGAACUUAGAGAUAGCUGGUUUUUUAAGAAAAGAUUUUUAGUUCAGCCCUGAGUCUUCUAUUACACAAGAAUUAAACUAAACUCAGGAGUUAUUCAAAUAAGGCACAGCUUAUUUGAAACAGGAUACA
rnacentral:rRNA from 1 species